CAGACGAACGCUGGCGGCGUGCUUAACACGAUGCAAGUCGAACGCGAAAGGGACUUCGGGUCCUGAGUAAAGUGGCGCACGGGUGAGUAACGCGUAGAUAACCUGUCUUCAUGUCUGGAAUAAUACGCCGAAAGGGGUACUAAUACCGGAUAUUCUUGCUUUUCAUAAGUUAUGCAAGCAAAGGUGGCCUCUGCAUAUGCUACUGCAUGAAGAGGGGUCUGCGUACCAUUAGCUAGUAGGUGGGGUAAUGGCCUACCUAGGCGACGAUGGUUAGCGGGUCUGAGAGGAUGAUCCGCCACACUGGCACUGGAACACGGGCCAGACUCCUACGGGAGGCAGCAGUGAGGAAUAUUGCGCAAUGGGGGAAACCCUGACGCAGCGACGCCGCGUGAGUGAAGGAAGGCCUUCGGGUCGUAAAGCUCUGUCAAGAGGAAAGAAGUGUACAAUGGCUAAUACCUGUUGUAUUUGACGGUACCUCUAAAGGAAGCACCGGCUAACUCCGUGCCAGCAGCCGC
rnacentral:rRNA from 1 species